UUACGUAAUCAAACCAGUUUUAUUAAUAUUGAGUUAGUUUAAUUAGUCAUAGAGUGUGAUCAAUAUUUGUUAAAAAAAAAAAUUCUAAUAUCAUAAAUAUUAUUUGUGUGAAAAUGUAACAAUAACAACCAGUCAGAGUCUUUUACUUUAAGUCAGCCGGAGACUUUUAAUUUAUGAGAUUUAUUCCCACGACUCCACCAUAUCUGCGUACGUCGUGACGUCAGACGUCCAAAGCGUGGGGGCGCUCCUCCUUAAAGUCGCAAUUUGUCAUCAAAUAGCAAAGAUGUUCCGGCCCAAGCCCAAACUGAAGGACAGACAGCACCUGUACAGGCUGAUCAUCAGCCAGCUGCUGUAUGACUGAUACACCAGCAUUGCCAACAGCCUGAUCAGUGAGGUGAAGCCCCAGAGUGUGGUGUCUCCAUCAGAGCAGCUCAUGCAACUGGCCAGGAUAGGUGCAGGUCUCAGUGGGCGACAUACGCACCACACUCAGGGUGUUUUCUACCACACUGAGGACUGUGCUGCUGCCAGACGAGCGAACCAUCAGCUUGUGCUGCUGGGAUUCACGCACUGCUGAGAGGAAGAACCUGCUCUCAUUAGGCCACAAUAACAUUGUGCGCUGUAUCUUACACUCACCCACCAACCCAGGCUUCAUGACCUGCAGCGAUGACUUCAGAGCACUCUUCUGGUAUCGCCGCACCACCACGGACUAAGACACAUCUGUGUGCUUUAAAAGCAAAAGUCUCUGAGCUUCUUUUAUCAGCAGGUCCCAAACACUGCGUAUGACUUCAGAGGCUUGUUUGCCAAGCCUCCAUAUCACUGAACGCACAAAACCAUUUUUAAAAGCACCAGAGAGCUUAUGACUGUGGUACCUUAGUAUUACUGCCGGGUGGUGCUGUUUAACUACUAUGAGUUCUGUCGUUUUCUUUACUACCAUUUCAUAACAUCAGAACUAUCAGCCGUAAAGUUGCAUUGAAGCUAAAGACAGAUUUUUUUUUAUAUUUGUGUCCGACAACAAGUAGAUGAGUGUUAUUCUGUCAUGGCAAGUGCCUAGAAUGUCAUUUUUUCCGUUUUGGAUAUUAAAGGGAUAGUUCACC